AUAUCAAUAAGCGGAGGAAAAGAAACGGGUAACAAGGAUUCCCCUAGUAACUGCGAGUGAAGCGGGAAAAGCUCAAAUUUAAAAUCUGGUGGUCUUUGGCCAUCCGAGUUGUAAUCUAGAGAAGUGUUAUCCGCGCUGGACCGUGUACAAGUCCCCUGGAAUGGGGCGUCAUAGAGGGUGAGAAUCCCGUCUUUGACACGGACUACCAGGGCUUUGUGAUGCACUCUCAAAGAGUCGAGUUGUUUGGGAAUGCAGCUCAAAAUGGGUGGUAAAUUCCAUCUAAAGCUAAAUAUUGGCGAGAGACCGAUAGCGAACAAGUACCGUGAGGGAAAGAUGAAAAGAACUUUGGAAAGAGAGUUAAACAGUACGUGAAAUUGUUGAAAGGGAAACGCUUGAAGUCAGUCGCGUCUGCCAGGGAUCAACCUUACUUUUUGUGAGGCGUACUUCCUGGUUGAUGGGUACAGCUAUACAGUUUUCGGUUGCUGGAUAAAGGUCAGAGAAAUGUGGCACCUAUCGGGUGUGUUACUAGUCUUUGAUCAGAUACAGUGGCUGGGACUGAGGAACUCAGCGUUCUUUCGCAAGGCUGUUCUUAGGAUGCUGCU
rnacentral:rRNA from 1 species